rnacentral:misc_RNA from 1 species
GGUGACCCCAUCACUCAAUUCCUCAAAACAACCAUGAUAAUUACCAGACACAUAAAUGUUAACAAUAGCUUGUAUUCUCUUCCAUACCCUUUCUAUUCCUUUCUCUUCCUUCCACCACCAUGCUUCUCCUGUUUCUGUUCUUUCUCUUCUUCUUCAAUGUCAACCCUGCAUUUUCUGCUCACUGCACCACCAUCACAUCCUCUAAAACCUUUGAAAGAUGCAUGACGCUUCCUACCCAGCAAGCCUCAAUGGCUUGGACCUUUCAUACCCACAAUUCCACUCUAGACCUUGUUUUCUUUGGGACCUUUAUUUCGCCUUCUGGAUGGGUUGGAUGGGGUAUUAAUCCUACAUCUUCAGAUAUGAUAGGUACCCGUGCUCUAAUCGCCUUUCCAGACCCAAAUUCUGGCCAACUAGUAGUAUUACCUUACAUUUUGGACCCAACUGUAAAGCUGCAAAAAUCACCACUUCUCUCUCGCCCUCUAGAUAUUAACCUCCUCUCCUCCUCCGCCACCCUCUACGGUGGCAAAAUGGCCACCAUACACAACGGUGCGGCAAUCCAAAUAUAUGCAACAUUAAAAGUGGCGCCGAAUAAAACCAAAAUUCACUUUGUAUGGAACCGUGGUUUAUAUGUUCAAGGUUACUCCCCAACCAUCCAUCCAACAACUUCCAAUGACCUAUCUUCCAUGGCCACCAUUGACGUCUUGUCAGGCUUCAAUUCUGCCCAUAAAGACGACAGAAAAACAUUGAAAAUAGUACAUGGAAUCAUAAACGCUGUGUCAUGGGGUAUUUUACUGCCAAUUGGGGCUGUCACUGCCCGAUAUUUGCGACACAUACAAGCACUAGGGCCGGCUUGGUUCUAUGCUCAUGCAGGAUUACAACUAAGUGGAUUCUUUUUAGGAACUGUGGGAUUUGCUAUAGGAAUCAGGCUUGGAGAACUAUCACCAGGAGUUGUUUAUAGCCUGCAUAGGAAGCUUGGGUUCGCAACGUUCUGCUUGGGGGCUCUACAAACGCUGGCACUACUGUUUAG